UACACGCUAGUUUGCAAAUACCCAUUAAAUGGAUUUUAAGUACCCAUUUUUUGCAAAUGUAUAGAGCUGUCAUAAAAUGGGGCUUUUUCUGACAUCUAAAAAUGGGUAUUUAACCCCCAUUAUGCAGUUCGCUUUCUCAUGAAAAUAAUGGGUAGAUAAUACUCAUGAAUGUUUGUGAUUUUUUGUGCCGCCAUUGUUGAAUAACGCGCUUACCGAAAGAAGAACAUUUAGUUUGUGAUGAAUUUGACCAAAAAAGGACCACGCUGACGGAGUGGAUAGUGAUUUAAUUCGCUUACACGUAGGCUUGCACCUGAAUGACUAAGUGCCAAGAAAAUGCGAGUUCCCGUUGCUGAUUGUAGACAUUUCAACCCCAAUGCCAAGACAGAUAUGUUUCAAAGGUGGAAAAUAAAUCGAUAAUGAGGUGUAAAAUAUAAUGUAAUAAGAUGUAAAACAUAUGCAUACAAAUAAAUACACAGUUUAAAUAGUCA